CAUAAGUCACAAAAUAGUUUAUUAGUCAGCAGCAAAAUCAAAACUAUUUACAAUGUGCAAAGUACAAACUGUGGUGGGCUUCUGCUACAGUGGAGGGCUAAAAGUAAAACUAUAUACAAGUACAGGUGCUGGUCAUAUAAUUCGCAUAUCAUGAAAAAAGUUGUUCAAUCUUCUGUUUGAGCUUUAUCAUGUUUAGAAAGCAGAUCAGAUAAUCACAGUUUGUUAGUGCUGAAUACAUUUAUAAACCACAGUAAAAAUCUGUUUUAUUGUUUAGAAACAACAAGACUGUUGGCACAAAAGAAAAACAAACGGGUGUGUCUUUGGCUUCGGUGCAGCUCGUUUUGGAUCAACUCUUGUCUCAUGUGGCCCUGCAGCUUCUCCUCCUCCACCUCCUCCUGAAGCCUUCAUCUUCUUCAUCAUCAGCUGCUCAGUGACUCUGUUGGACGUCUCACCGUGUGGCAGCAGCUCAGGAGUUUGCAGUCAACCAAGGCCGACUCAGAAUCACUCCCACCGGGAAGAUCUGUGAAGGAAGGUCCACCCGGCUGGUCCAGAAGCUCCGGUCCAGCAGAGCAGCGUCAGGAUGGAGACGUAACCGGUGUUGAUGUCACCGCCUUGACGAAUAGAAGAAAAGCCUAUAUUUGGGUAUGUAGGACUGGUAGUCCAGAGGUAGUGGUGGUGGUUUGGAACCUGGAGAGUGCAGGUUCGAUCCCCCACCCUGCUCAAGCUUUUUUUUUUACAUUUGGGCAAAAUUUGCCAAAAAUCUGCCUUCGUGCCUUCGUGCCUUCGUGCCUUCGUGCCUUCGUGCCUUCGUGCCUUCGUGCCUUCGUGCCUUCGUGCCUUCGUGCCUUCGUGCCUUCGUGC